GAUGAACGCUGGCGGCGUGCCUAAUACAUGCAAGUCGAGCGAACGGACGAGAAGCUUGCUUCUCUGAUGUUAGCGGCGGACGGGUGAGUAACACGUGGAUAACCUACCUAUAAGACUGGGAUAACUUCGGGAAACCGGAGCUACUACCGGAUGAUAUUUUGAACCGCAUGGUUCAAAAGUGCAAGAGGGUUUUCCUGUCACUUAUAGAUGGAUCCGCGUUGCAUUAGCUAGUUGGUAAGGUAACGGCUUACCAAGGCAACGAUGCAUAGCCGACCUGAGAGGGUGAUCGGCCACACUGGAACUGAGACACGGUCCAGACUCCUACGGGAGGCAGCAGUAGGGAAUCUUCCGCAAUGGGCGAAAGCCUGACGGAGCAACGCCGCGUGAGUGAUGAAGGUCUUCGGAUCGUAAAACUCUGUUAUUAGGGAAGAACAUAUGUGUAAGUAACUGUGCACAUCUUGACGGUACCUAAUCAGAAAGCCACGGCUAACUACGUG
rnacentral:rRNA from 1 species